rnacentral:lncRNA from 14 species
CUUUGACCUGAAGCUUUCCUUUUUUUUCUUGUUUCCCUUCGCCGCCUCCCCUCCCAGAGAAGAUGUCUUCAGAUGACCACACAGUUCAAUUGCAGGUACAGUACUUCACGAGGCUUGCAGGAGGAAGCUGACACAGAUCUGCUGCAAUUGAUACCAGCUGCAACAAGUAUAUUUGUAUGGAAAUGAGGGUUGUAUGGAUGAGGUUGGACUUGGUCAGAUGUGGCUGCAGCCUCACCAUCCUCCUGCCUCUCCACAGCUAAGAUUGGAAUGUGAAAUGAGAACUCUUUGCUUCUGCUUUACCCUCUCAACACUAGCUACAAGGAGUUUUAUGGCUAUUAGUCCCAUGUAUACCCAGGACGAGUUGAGAAUUGUUGGCCCUUAUCUUCAGGCUGCGGACACUUGUGCAACCCAGAGUCAAGACACUGCUGUUCUUCAAAAGGAAGGUCUUCCCAUUAGUACACAUGUGGGCAAAGCAGGUCCUUUGGGUUCAGCAGAGCUCUCUUGGUUGACACCACUGGAUCUGACCUGCUAAACCUCCAUUUCAUGUUAAACCUCACUUCACUUUAAUGUGAAUUAAUUCAGCUUUGUUUUGAGGACAGAGAUGGAGGCACAAGUGAAGAGAAAAACACUGCAGUUGAGUUUCUUUCAGUCAGAGAAGUCAGAGCAGUGCUUUUGGCAGAGCUUUGGGUGAAAGAUGGACUAUAAAAGAACGUUCCAUGACAUAGCUGCACAUAAGCAUCGAUUGCUUCCCUGUCCAGUGACCUGCUGAGCUGGCAUCUGUCACUGCACUCUGCAUGCCUGGGCUGAACAUGGCAGUUCCGAGACCUUCGCUGCUGUUUAUUCUGAAGGAGGACUGGACAAGGGCUUUGAGAUUUGGCUUCAGGAGAGGCGAUGCUUUUGACACGAGAAAAACACACAGAGUGAAGCCAACUUCCCUUAAGAGCUCACUCCCUGCUGCCACCAGAGCCACAUGUCUACCUGGUCACUGGAAAGAUGGGUACCAGGUACCACCUCAAAUGAAGGAGGGAAGAAGUAAUAAUGCCACUAGUAAUGGCUUUGUGUGUCAGAGAGGCAAUGAAACUCUGUCUGGAUGUGGCAAACCUCAUCGUGCCGAUGGAGUGAGUGAAUUUGCAAUAACACUGCAAUUGCUGCAAUGGCAGCUUGUCAGACGGCUGCUGGAGCAACGAGAGCUCUCAAGCUGUGAUUGCCACUCCCCCAGAAGCUUUCUGGCUGCUGAGGGAAACAGCCUUCUAGAAUAUGCCUUUCCAGUGGGUCCCGCCUGA